UACGUAGGGCGCGAGCGUUAUCCGGAAUUAUUGGGCGUAAAGAGCUCGUAGGCGGUUUGUCGCGUCUGCUGUGAAAGCCCGGGGCUCAACCCCGGGUCUGCAGUGGGUACGGGCAGGCUGGAGUGCAGUAGGGGAGACUGGAAUUCCUGGUGUAGCGGUGAAAUGCGCAGAUAUCAGGAGGAACACCGAUGGCGAAGGCAGGUCUCUGGGCUGUAACUGACGCUGAGGAGCGAAAGCAUGGGGAG
rnacentral:rRNA from 1 species